rnacentral:lncRNA from 10 species
CAGGAGGAAGCAAGGAGUUAGAGGUUUUCUUCUACUCUUUAUUUACUGAGCCAGAGGAAGCGACCAUGGCCAGUGAAGGGUCCAAAUUUUUGCCUUUGUUCUCAGCAGCUCUCAACUUGGCACCCCUUCCUGUCAGUGUUCUUCUAGUCAGGACAUAAACCAGUCCCUUGGGCAGCUCCUGAAAAAGUCUCAACAUUGGACAUAUGUUUCAGUCUUCUCUUUCCAUUCCAAGGGAGAAACUGAGAUCUGGGAGUUUUCUCUCAAUUGCAUUGCACUGAGGAAGAGGGCCUAUGAGAAUUUUACUAUCUGAGAAGCUGGUGGAGCCUAAAGACCUGAGGAUUUCUUCCUAGCUGCAGCAGAACACGGUCAGAGGCAGUGGCUGUAGUCUCUUGGAAUAUGCUACCCC